CUGUAUGUGCAAUUAUAUCGGAGCUUUGUGUGGGAUUAUAUAUUGGAGCUGUGUGUGGGAUUAUAUCUGAGCUCUGUGCACGACGGAGCUGUGUGUGGGUUUAUAUCGGAGCUCUGUGCAUGGGUGAGCUGUGUGUGGGAUUAUAUCAGAGCUCUGUGCAGGAGGUGAGCUCUGUGUGUGGGAUUAUAUCAGCUCUGUGUGUGGGAUUAUAUCGGAGCUCUGUACACGGGUGAGCUAUGUGUGGGAUUAUAUCAGAGCUUUGUGCCGGAGGUGAGCAGUGUGUGUGAUUAUAUCAGAGCUCUGUGCACGGGUGAGCUGUAUAUGGGAUUAUAUCGGAGCUCUGUGCAGGAGGUGAGCUGUGUGUGGGAUUAUAUCGUAGCAGUGAGUGGGAUUAUAUUGGAGCUCGGUACACGGGUGAGCUGUGUGUGGAAUUAUAUCGGAGCUGUGUGCAGGAGGUGAGCUGUGUGUGGAAUUAUAUCGGAGCUGUGUGCAGGAGGUGAGCUGUGUGUGGGAUUAUAUCGGAGCUGUGUGCAGGAGGUGAGCUGUGUGUGGGAUUAUAUCGGAGCUGUGUGCAGGAGGUGAGCUGUGUGUGGGAUUAUAUCGGAGCUGUGUGCAGGAGGUGAGCGGUGUGUGGGAUUAUAUCGGAGCUCUGUACAGCUGUGUGGAAUUAUCUAGAGCUUGGUACUAGGAGGAGCUAUGUGUGUGACUGUUUUGGAGCUCUGUGCAGGGAGUGAUCUGUUUGAGCUCUGUGACUGAUUCCAUCUUCCUUGCUCUC